CGUGACCCCAGGUCAGUCGAGACUAGCCG
rnacentral:rRNA from 1 species